rnacentral:rRNA from 1 species
GUGGCUAAUACCGCAUAACGUCGCAAGACCAAAGAGGGGGACCUUCGGGCCUCUUGCCAUCAGAUGUGCCCAGAUGGGAUUAGCUUGUUGGUGAGGUAACGGCUCACCAAGGCGACGAUCCCUAGCUGGUCUGAGAGGAUGACCAGCCACACUGGAACUGAGACACGGUCCAGACUCCUACGGGAGGCAGCAGUGGGGAAUAUUGCACAAUGGGCGCAAGCCUGAUGCAGCCAUGCCGCGUGUAUGAAGAAGGCCUUCGGGUUGUAAAGUACUUUCAGCGGGGAGGAAGGUGUUGUGGUUAAUAACCGCAGCAAUUGACGUUACCCGCAGAAGAAGCACCGGCUAACUCCGUGCCAGCAGCCGCGGUAAUACGGAGGGUGCAAGCGUUAAUCGGAAUUACUGGGCGUAAAGCGCACGCAGGCGGUCUGUCAAGUCGGAUGUGAAAUCCCCGGGCUCAACCUGGGAACUGCAUUCGAAACUGGCAGGCUUGAGUCUUGUAGAGGGGGGUAGAAUUCCAGGUGUAGCGGUGAAAUGCGUAGAGAUCUGGAGGAAUACCGGUGGCGAAGGCGGCCCCCUGGACAAAGACUGACGCUCAGGUGCGAAAGCGUGGGGAGCAAACAGGAUUAGAUACCCUGGUAGUCCACGCCGUAAACGAUGUCUACUUGGAGGUUGUGCCCUUGAGGCGUGGCUUCCGGAGCUAACGCGUUAAGUAGACCGCCUGGGGAGUACGGCCGCAAGGUUAAAACUCAAAUGAAUUGACGGGGGCCCGCACAAGCGGUGGAGCAUGUGGUUUAAUUCGAUGCAACGCGAAGAACCUUACCUGGUCUUGACAUCCACAGAAGAAUCCAGAGAUGGAUUGGUGCCUUCGGGAACUGUGAGACAGGUGCUGCAUGGCUGUCGUCAGCUCGUGUUGUGAAAUGUUGGGUUAAGUCCCGCAACGAGCGCAAC